UACGUAGGGCGCGAGCGUUGUCCGGAAUUAUUGGGCGUAAAGAGCUCGUAGGCGGCUUGUCGCGUCUGCUGUGAAAACGCGGGGCUUAACUCCGCGCUUGCAGUGGGUACGGGCAGGCUUGAGUGUAGUAGGGGAGACUGGAAUUCCUGGUGUAGCGGUGGAAUGCGCAGAUAUCAGGAGGAACACCGAUGGCGAAGGCAGGUCUCUGGGCUAUUACUGACGCUGAGGAGCGAAAGCAUGGGGAGCGAACAGG
rnacentral:rRNA from 1 species